rnacentral:rRNA from 1 species
UACUAGAGUAGCACUCGCAUAUCAAUAAGCGGAGGAAAAGAAACUAACAAGGAUUCCCCUAGUAACGGCGAGUGAAGCGGGAAGAGCUCAAAUUUGAAAUCUUAAAGGGUUUCCCUUUACGAAUUGUAGUUUAAAGAAGUGUUUUCUGUUGAGGUUUUGGUAAAAGUUCUUUGGAAUAGGACAUCAUAGAGGGUGAGAAUCCCGUAUUUGACCUUUACUUUCAACUUUGUGAUACACUUUCAAAGAGUCGGAUUGUUUGGGAAUGCAGUCCAAAAUGGGUGGUAAAUUUCAUCUAAAGCUAAAUAUUGGCGAGAGACCGAUAGCGAACAAGUACCGUGAGGGAAAGAUGAAAAGAACUUUGAAAAGAGAGUUAAACAGUACGUGAAACUGUCAAAAGGGAAGCGUUUGACACCAGUGUUGUUUUUCUGAAAAUCAAUUAAAGAACUGUUUAUGCUAAGCUGUUUAGACUUUAUCAGCUAACUGUUUAGUUUUGAGCUUUUCUUUAAUGCACUUUUCAGUUAACAAGUCAACAUCAAUUUCUUUUGCUGUAAAAAAGCUUGAGGAAGGUGGCUUGAGAUUCGUCUUAAGUGUUUAUAGCCUCUUGCCUAUGCAGUCGGAGAGAUUGAGGUCUGCAGCGUAGAUCCUUCGGGGCUAAAUGCAUUUGUGCUAAGUUAUAGCAUUUUAUAGACAACUUGUUGACUAUGAUUUGUCUUGUAGCUUACUCGCUUAUGUUAUUUUACCUACGCUUAGGAUGUUGAGCGCAUGUCUCUCUCU